CAAAGCGUGGUGUCACUUACCUCAGAGUAGUCUCCAUUACCAACAGCUGAUGAUUCCAAAGCGUGGUGCCCAAGAAGAAGACAAGCAAAAGUCAGGACAGAAGGAGAUCUCUCAAUACAUUUGAUGAUCAGAACAGUAGACCACUUUUGCAAGAACCUAUAAACAUUAUUCUAUCCUAUAAGUAGGAACUGAUUAAAGAUGGAUGUUCAGAUAGCAUCACGCUCUGCAGCAGAAGUCAUCCCAGCAGGAGAAAAGUGUUGCGGCUAUGAUACCAGAGAUGAGAAGACAGAGAAGAUGCCACUCAUCAUAUGCAUGUGUGUUCCAAAUAAAGAGACCCCCCAAUCUGCCUAGAGCCAUGAUGAUAUGAUGAUAGAAGAGUGCUAGUGACUAUGGAAUAGCUGAGGCUAUGCAAGAAAAAGGGCAGCUGAGAAUAAAUGAAAGGGAAAAGGCUAUGAUGUUUUAUUCCCUGAAAAUGGCCUAGGGCAAUUGACUGCUUGUAACAGCUUAACUACUUUACAGGAUAAAUAUUCAUUGUUUUAUUUUUAGCUUUUACCCUACUAUGUUCCAAUACAUUCUACACGCUCAUAAGGACAAAAUGGAUAUUAUAGAUUUUUUAGGGUACAAAUACGUUUGUGUUCUAUUUGAUGAAUAUUGAAACAUAUAUAAUAGUCUUUUGACAAAUAAUACAUGAAUUUGUUGCCUUUUAAAUAAGGGUGGUCUUCAUUGGAUACAAUGCAUUGGGAAAGUCUUUAGACCCUUUAAUGUUUUUUAAGUUGUAAUGUUGCGGCCUUAUGCUAAAAUAAGAAAAAAUGAAGUGUUCCCUCAUCAAUCUACACCCACUACCCCAUAAUGAGAAUGUGAAAACAGAUUUUUUUUGCCAAUUUAUUAAAAAUGAAGAAAUAAAAAUUUGAUUGGACAUAAGUAUUCAAAACCUUUGCUAUGACACUUGAAAUUUUUCUCUGAGAUGUUUCUACGCCUUUUUUGUCACUUUUGGUCAAUUCAGUUCAUUCAGUUGAUUGGACAUAACUUGACACAGUCCUGUCAAUAUAAGGUUUCACAGCUGACAAUCUACAGGGUGGGCCAUUUAUAUGGAUACACCUUAAUAAAAUGGGAAUGGUUGGUGAUAUUAACUUGUGGCACAUUAGGAUAUGUGAGGGGGGAAACUUUUCAAGAUGGGUGGUGACCAUGGCGGCCAUUUUGAAAUCAGCCAUUUUGAAUCCAAC